CAGGGCACACUGGCCUGCCCCUGCCCUUGAGGUCGGCACCUUGGCGGUCUGAGAAUUUGGAGCUUGGUCAUGCUGGGCCUGUGGGCUGAGCUCCCAGGAGCCAAGGAGCAGAGAAAGGAUCAGCUACAGGAUCGGGCCUAGGUCAGAUCCUCAGAGGUAAGCCCCACAAAGGCAGGCGUGUUCGUCAGUGUCUAAGACCAUGCCUGGAAAUCAGUAAAUAUUUGUUGAAUGAACGAGGCUCCGAGACAUGUAGGAUGUACUCAAGGUCACACAGUAUGUCCGUGAGAGAGAAAGAGAUGCAAACCCAGCACUGUCUGAGGACAGCAAAUUAAAAGAAGCAUUCCACUCCAUUCUGGUAAGAAAAACCCAGAUCCUGGAUGAGGGAGUGCUCUGGUCUGGAAUAUACCAUUCUCACGGCGCAGAGGGCGUGAGUGGGAGCUGCGAGAAACAUGGAGUGCCUCUGAACACUUCUCCCGGGAUGUGAUGGCCCCUGGUUCUCUAACUGCAUUACCUUCAGGAUGGAUGGGCGACAGCGAUGGAUGGGCCACUGGAUGGACAGUGACAGUGUUUCUGUGAGGUGCACCUGAGGAGGGCUCAUUGGGCCAGAGAGCAUGCAGAAUUCUGAUCGACACUCCCGUCAACGGCAUGUGCCAGAGUCUACACAACGGCAGCCUCUUCCGUUUCUGCUAAGAGAAGCAGCCCAUGGUAGUUUGCAUGUAUGAUUUGCAUGUACUUGAUUCUUUCUGAGGUAGAGUACCCGUCGGAAUGUUGGAAUGGUUAUUUACAUUUCUAAAGGGAAGGACCUCU